CUAUUCAUGAUGGGGUCGAUAUCCUCUCAGUGUCACUUGGAUCCGGUCCGAGAGAAUACAUUACUCAUGGGAAUGCAAUUGGAGCAUUUCUUGCUAUGGAGCGCGGGAUUCUUGUGGUUGCCUCGGCUGGAAAUGAAGGACCUGACCCUGGAGUCGUAGGGAAUGUAGCUCCCUGGAUUCUUACAGUUGCUUGUAGCACUAUCAGUAGGGAGUUCACAUCUAAUGUCAUCCUCGGAAAUAACAAACAAUACAAGGUUCGUUCUGUAAGCUCAUAUCUUUAGCAAGUCCUUGUAAAUUGUUCUACCUAUCAUGGGAUCCAAGAAUUUGCUAUAUUAAUUUCUAGAUAAUCAGGGUAUGAGUUUUAAUACCAACACUCAACCAGCUGGGAAGUUUUACCCCUUGAUCAAUUCGGUGGAUGCUAAAGCUGCCAAUGUUUCCAGUAAUCAAGCGUAAGCAGCAAACUAAUUUUGUUCUCAGCCAAAAUUACAUUUUCUGUAGUUGUUAGGUUCAUAUUUCUUAUCUUGUUGUCUUUGGCAGAAAAUAUUGCUCCAUCGGAUCCCUUGACCCCUUGAAAGUUAAAGGAAAAAUCGUAUAUUGUACUCGCAAAAGAUCCUGAUGUAGAAAAGAGUCUGGUUGUUUCUCAAGCUGGUGGUGUUGGGGUGAUACUUGCUAAUCAAUUGAUAAUUCAACAAAUCCGACCUCGGGCACACUUUGUUCCUACUUCCGUUGUCUCUGCAGACGAUGGACUUUCCAUUUUAACUUAUGUCUAUAGUACAAAGUAAGGUCUAUGUAAUAGAUAAUUCAGACAAUUAAACUUUGUUGAUUUCAGUCGAUAAUGCCCUGAACAAUCUAUCGUUUGUGAUCCUGUGAAUCUCUUGGAACUUCUCUUUUCACUCAGGUCACCUGUAGCUUACAUAAGUGGCGCCACGAAGGUGGGAACAGUGGCUGCACCUGUCAUGGCUGAUUUUUCAUCUCCUGGGCCUAACUUCAUCACCCCAGAGAUCCUUAAGGUACGUACUCUUAAUAGCUUCACAUGAGCGUUUUAAAAUACAUGAUCAAUAUUAUUUUUAUAGUGAGAGUGCAUAUGUGAUGAUUUCAGCCCGACAUCACUGCACCUGGAGUCAAUAUUCUAGCUGCCUUCACCGGAGCAUCAGGGCCAACUGCUGUGCCAGGAGACCGGCGCCGAGUACAUUUCAACUUUUUAUCUGGAACCUCAAUGGCAUGCCCCCAUGUUUCCGGAAUCGCUGGUCUUCUCAAAACUAUUCACCCUGAUUGGAGUCCUGCUGCAAUUAAAUCUGCAAUCAUGACAACAGGUUAGUGCUUUUCUGCUCUUCGCAUUAGCAUCUCCAAGUGCUUCUCUUCUGAUAGCUUGAGUGGUUGCUUAUGACAUUUCAGCGACAACGAUCAGUAAUGUGAAGCAGCCUAUCGCGAAUGCUUCUCUUCUUGAGGCAACCCCAUUGAAUUAUGGUGCCGGGCACAUAUGGCCUAGCCGUGCAAUGGACCCAGGCCUGGUCUAUGACCUAACGACUAAAGAUUACGUGAAUUUUCUAUGCUCCAUUGGCUAUAACUCAACCCAGUUGUCACUUUUUAUUGGUAAGCCAUACAUAUGCCCGUCGCAGAACAAUGGUCUGCUGGAUUUCAACUAUCCAUCCAUUACUGUCCCGAAUCUCUCAAGCAAUAAGACCACGUUGUCCCGAACCUUGAAGAACGUGGGGACUCCAAGCUUGUAUAGAGUUAAUAUCAGGGCACCUGGAGGCAUAUCUGUGAAGGUUGAGCCAAGAAGCUUGAAGUUCGAUAAGAUAAACGAAGAGAAAAUGUUCAAGGUCACUCUAGAGGCCAAGAAAGGGUUUAAGAGUAAUGACUAUGUGUUUGGAGAGAUAACCUGGUCUGAUGGGAAACACCAUGUGAGGAGUCCUGUUGUGGUGAAGAAGAUGGAAGUAGCAGCCUAAGGUUGAAGGACACUGACCAGGCGUCUGGAUUUGUAGGUGGAAGGCCAGCGUGUAGAGAUCUAUAUAUCUCCAUGGUCACCAAAUCGAUCUUCAAAUUCCCGUUCCAUGUCAUGACAAGUAUCGAAUGUCACCAAAUCGUGUCAUUUUUUUUAUGCCACUAAUCUAGUGAUUGAACUAAGAAAAUAAAAAUAAAAAUAAAUGGUUUUGUUUUAGAAUAUUUUGGAAUGGUUUUUGGUUUUUAUCUACUUUCUAUUGAUUUUGUUUAGUUGCUUUAGUAUUUUUGUUUUUCUAUUUAUAUGUUAUUUAUGGCUCUGUUUUUUACCUUUUGUUGUGUGACAACUGAUUAGGUUACUGUGCAUUAAGUUUUUUGAGAGUGCAGGUAAUGCUGUGAAGCCUAGCUUACCAUCUUUCAUUUAUUAACAAAAUCUUAUGAUAAAGACAUUCAAUUGUCAUAUCCCUCAAUUGGAGAACAAAAGGAUAUCCAUACAUUUUGUAGGUGUCAAAAAAUAUGAAAGAUCUAUUUAUGUUAUUUAUUUACCUUAGUUUUUUUUUAGGCUUAAUAAUUCUAUCUAGAAAAAUUAUUUCUAGUAUCUAAUUAAUAACAUAUUGCACUGCGAUUAAGCUAACAAUGAAUGAAUUCCCACAAAGAUUUAUCUACUUAUCGUGGCUUUUUUUUUUCUUCUCUUUAGGCUUCAUAAUUGUACCCAAGAAAAUCACAUAUUGCAUUACAAUUAAGUUAAUGAUGAAUGAAUUCCUACAAAGACCUUUUACCGAAGAAUGUGACCAUCUUAAGAGGUAGUAUAACAUCAUAAUUUUCUAAAAUAUCUUAGGUGUUGUUUUUGAACAAGUAUAUCCAAUUCAAACAUAAUAGUAAUAUAUAUUAUUUGGAAAAUUCUACGUUCAAUUUGUUCUUUGUCACUUAACUUUUUUUAUUCUUAAUUUAAUCAUUUCACAUUAAAUUAAUUUAGGAUUGAGUUUAAUGUUUUAUUUCAGUUGGGCUCUAGCGAUAUUAAUAAUAAGUUUUGAUGUUAAGUUGAUGAUUAAUUUGGUAAAAUAAAAUUUAAAUUUAUUGAUUCAAAUCAAUUAAAAUGUCAACGACUUAAUUUUAAACUGUAAAUACUCAGUCUUUUUUUCUUUAAAAAAUAAUAUUUUUAUUUCAACUUUCUAACUCAAUUUUUAAUUGAAACUAACAUAUAUAACGCAUGAAUACAUCAAACUACAGCAACAAAAGAGCAGUCUUUUGUUGUAGAGUAUGAACAUAAAAUUAAACAGUCUUCUCUAAUUUAGAGCAUAAAAUAAAAUCGAUGUGCUAAUAGCUAACCAUAAACAGACAUAUUGAGGAAUUAAACUGCUGGCAUGGUCAUACCCUCCUGUUGAUAUAAUUGGGUCAAAUGGAAUAUUUAUUUUAAGCAAAAGCAAGAAAAAAGUAGUCUAAAAUAUGAUAAAGUAGUAGUAGUUGUGUUAAGCAAAAAGGAAGAAAUGUUGUCUUAUCAUCCCACGUUUUUGCCUGCAUGGACCGACGGAUCGCCUGCGAGAAGAAUGCUUUUUUUUUUUUUAAAGCAUUCUUCUCAUAGGCGAUCCGUCGAUCUAUGCUUGAACAUGUAAGAAAAGUAAACCUAAUGUAUUCUCGGAUCUUUUAUUAUUAUUAUUAUAAAGAAUAAGUUUGAACUCCAUCUUUUUCUAAAAGAAAGGAGAUACGAAUACUAUUACAAAGAAAAAAAAUGAUUGGGAUUUUGAAAUUACUGUAUACCUAGACAUAAUGUAUUGUAAACGGAACAAUAUAAUUAUGUUUUUGCCUUUAUAUAUAGAAAAAAAAAAAACAUUAGACUAGCUAUUGGGAGUAAUACUGAAUUUUUUCAUGGACCAUGUGUUCAUUAUUAUAUUUAUUAGGGACAAUGCAGUCUGUUUACAUUUUUAUAGAACAAUGUAAUGACUAGAAUAACCUUAAAAUCAAAAUAAUUUUAUCUGAAUUUAGAGAUUGACUUGUUUUUUCAUUUUUAUAUGUAUAAUGAGUCUACAUACUUAACCUUGGAUGCAAAUUUUAUUAAACUUGGGAUCGAGGGCUUCUUUGUAUUUUCAUCAUUAUUUUUUAGUUAUAAUAUGGUCAAGUUUGGGGUAACUUGGUAUUUUAGUAAGUGUAAGAAAUAUUUUUUUUAAAAAAAAUGAUUGACGUGUACAACACACACAUUAACGUGUUAGGCGGCAUAUGCGGAUUUAUAUGGUGUUAGAAAAUGGCCAUCCGUGACGGUUAACAAUCCUCUUGGCAUCCCUUUUCUGAUGAAGUGGCGGCGUGUGCAGCGGUGUGGCUCCUACCACUUUUUUUUUUCUUCUCACUUCUCCUUGAAAAACAAGUUACCCAAUCAAAAAUCUAUAUUUUCCUUUUAAUUUUUUUUUUUAAGUUUAUGAUUUAGUUUCCUUUUGAUUAUCUUAUUUUCAUUUUGAUUUUUUUUGAAAACUUUAAAUUUUUUAUUUAUUUUGCCUUUAAUUUAAAUGUUAUUUUUAUUUCAUGUUUGAUUCUCUUUCUUUUGAUUUCUUAUUUAUGUAUUGAUUUUAUUUUUUUUGUAAAAUGUAAGAUUUUUUUCAAAUUCAGCCUAAAAUCAAACAAUGUUAUUUUUAUGCUUUGUCUGUUUUUGUUUAACAUUUGAUCUUUAUUAUUUUAUAUUGCUAUUUUAUUUUAUGGAACCUUUUGUCAAAUUAUUUUUUUUUCUUUCAAUUUCAUCCCUCAAUCUUGGGUUGGUUAGUUAGAAAUUGAGGGUCAUGGUUUUUUUCAAUUGAGUUACACCAGUUUCAUGACUCUGGUAAAAAAUUUAAAAGUUUGGGUCAACUUGGGUGGUGUCGACUUUUUUCCCCCUCUUUUUACACUAAUUUCCUUUUAGUUUUACUCCUUUAAUACUUUAGAUUUGUGAAGUUAUUCGUGUUUUCUUCAAACUCAUUUUUAAAAUCUAACUAGAUUUAUUUCACUCCAUUAUCAUGGUCUCUUGACCUUGAUAGUAAGUUUUUCUAUUUACCUAGGGAUCGCUCUACGUUUUUCUUUUGGAGUUAUCUUUUUAAAAUUGAUUAUUUUUUUCUAGUUUAGUUGUUCAUUAUUUUUCUUUGCAUUUAGGCUCCGUUUGUUUGCAGGAAAGUGAAUUCCUUUUUGAAUUGGAAAGUGAAUUCCGGGAAAGUAUUUUCCGAUGUUUGGUAGUGUUAUGGAAAAUGAACUGGAAAACACUUUCCAGUGUUUGGUUAUGUCAUGGAAAAUGAGCUGGAAAAUAACUUAUUAUAUUUUAUUUUUUUCAAGUUUAUUAAAUAAUGAGGAACAAAUUUACAAUUAAAAAGUUGAAUGAUAAUGAAAUUGAAAAAAAAUAUAAUUUCAUAAAUUAUCUCAAAUAAAACAAAUAAUAAUCAAAUAAUAGGGUCAAAUCUAAAAUUAAAAAAAAAAUGAAAAAUGAAGAAUUAAAUAAUAAUAAUCAACAUUUCAUAAAUUAUUUCAAAUAAAAUAAGUAACAAUCAAAAGAAUGAGGAUCAAAUUUGAUAAAUAAAAAAUUUCAAUAAAAAAUGAUAAGAAAAAAGCAAAUAGCAAUUAUAAAAAUAAGGACAAAGUUAAUAUAAAAUAAAAUUUUAAGAGAUGAAAUUGAAAAAUAAAUAUUCAAAACAAAAUAUAUAUAGUAAUCAAAAGUUUGAGGAUCAAAUUUGAUAUAAUCAGCAAAUAAUGGCAUUUCUAAAUUUUUCACAACUUCCGGAAAGUGUUUUCCCCUCAAAUUUUUCAGGAAAACACUUUCCUGAAAACCAAGCCAAAUUUUCCUUUUACUGGAAAGUGUUUUCCAUUGACCAACUUUCCUACUGGCAAAUAAACACAAGAAAGUUUGGAAAGUGCUUUCCCGGAAACCACUUUCCGGAAAACAAACACAGAUAAAAGGAAAACACUUUCCUGAAAACCAAGUCAAUUUUUUUUUUGACUAAAAUUGACUGGAAAGUGUUUUCCGUUGACUAGAAAGUGUUUUCCGCUGACCGGAAAUUGUUUUCCGUUGACCAACUUUUCUAAUGACAAACAAACACAAGAAAGUUUGGAAAAUGGUUUCCCGGAAACUACUUUCCGAGAAACAAACAAGUCCUUAGCUUCAUAAAUUUGGGAAAAUGAUGAUUUUUUAAAAUAAAAAAAAUACUUUUAUACAUAUAUAUGCAUUUAUAUUAUUUCUUAAAAAAGUGUUAAAAUUAGAACGACAAUUUAUAAUACUUCAAACAUGUUAUUGUUUCAUAGCUCAUCGAACUAGAUAUAUGUUAUAAUAUCUUAAUUACCAGCAUAGAUCAAUCUUAAUUAUAAUCCACCAUAAGUACAAUAACAUGAACAGGCCAUGAAUUAUGACACGGUGGUCUGCAACUGUAUCCUUCUGCUCUUUUGCUCUUCUUUUUCUCGACAAGUAAUUGUUGAGUGGGUCUUUGUAGCCCAGAAACCAACACUUUCUUUUGGGUGUGUGUAUAUAUAUAUUUUAUACUAUACCGCAAGUCUUGGAGACAAUCUUCCACUUUAUUAGCCAUAUAUUUGUGGGUUCCAUAUAAAUUCAACAAGAUCAAUGGCAAUUAGGAUUAUGUUUUGUUAAUAGAUUAAAUAGAUAAUUUGAUUCACGUCAUUUGUCUCUCAAUAUUAGAAUUAAUUACUCGGUUGAUUCUGAAAUUUAAUGAUAACUUUACGGAGUUAAUCUAAUGGUUAAGAAAUCAUGCUUUUAUCUUUAUUUUUUCAGCUAAACAUUUGGAAUUAACAUUCUAAAAAAUCCAUUAAAUUUCUUUAAAUAUAUCGAAUCGAUGUAUUUUUUUUUAAAGAAAAACUUAGUUUUAAUACUGGACACGCUAAAAAAAUAGGGUUUAAAUACUAUGGUGCACAACUUUGAUAAAUGUCGUUAUGAAAAAGCUUAUGCUGUCCACCUUUUCGACAAGCAUGAUACUCCUUUAAUCUUCUUUUCUAAGUAAAACAGGACACCACAGUUCCAUUUAUUUUUCCUUUUUGCUCCAAAAGACAGCUUACAAAGCCCUCCUCUCAUCAAAAGAGGAAGUAAAGUAAGAAGAAAAGGGAGAAAACAACAAUAAUCCCGAUGAUAAAGGGCCUAGCUAGCUACAGUACUGUUCCGUUUUAGGUUCCAGUCUUCUAUCAGUUGUGAGAAAAAGAAAAUGAUUUGGUUAAUGUAUUGCGUACAGCAGAAAAGAGAGGAGAAAACAUCAACAAUAAAAAAAAAAAAAGCAAAACAUUCAAGAACAGUAAUGCGGUGUUAUCAUUGCACUAACUCGUAAUGUAAAUUAUAAUUAGACAGUGAAUCCAGGAUUAAAGAGAACAUGCGUUGGAUCUAUGACGAGGAAAGAACAGAAAAUACCAAUGAAGGCCUUCGUCUAAAUAAAAUGGACAAUACACUGCAUGAAUCCACGGUGUUUUCACUCACAAAGCACAAUAAAUAACUUAGCUGAUUUAUUUAUUUAUUUAUUUUUAUUUUUUUUUUGUAACUGGGUGAUGUUUACGGUAAAAUAAACUGGAUUUCUUGUUUUUCCUUUGUUUUCACCUCUUUGCUGAGGGGAUGGAACUGUUGAAAGCUAAGCUAAUUACUUGUGAUUAAAGUCUUAGAAGAAGAUUACGUAGACCGAAGGAAGAAGGAUGAAAAAAUUGAAGAAAUUCUGUUAAAACAGUUAAAGAGUUAGUUAUAAUCGUUAUGGCAGUUAUAUCAGUUUUUACUGUUACAAAAACUGUUACAAAUCAUUCUUACAUGUGUAAGAAUCGUGACCCUCCAUUAAUGGAUGGAUGAGAUGAUCUUGAUUCCUAAAAUACCGGAAUCAGUUACAUACAAUGUAUAUAAAUGUAGAGUUUGCUGCAUUGAAAAAUAUAUAAAAAAUACACAAGAAUUUCUUCAUAAUCUUCUCUGCACAUUUAAACAUAUUCUUCUUUUUAAAACCUUCAAAAAAUAAACAUGGUAUCAGAGCUUACAAACUGAUUCCAAAGGGGCGUAAACUGUGACAAACAGAUUGAUUAAACUAUUACUUACUCAAAAAAUGGUAGGAUCAAGCUCUGUUGGAGGAGAUUUAAGAACUUCAUAGUUCAAUGGCACAAAUUAUGAUUUUUGGGCUGUAAAAAUGGAGACUAUCCUCAUAGCAUUCGAUCUAUGGGAAGUAAUAGAAGUUGGAAUCAAUUCUCAUCCAUCAUCUAAGGUUGCAACUGGAUCAUGCGAUGAAGAGAGUGAAGUUGAGCAAACUACAUUGCAUGCAUCCACGACAUCCAGAGAAGAAAAAAUCAAGAAUGCAAAGGCAUUAAGCCUUAUACAAGGAGCAUUAACAGAUGACCUCUUCCCACGAAUAAGAAAUGAAAAGACUGCAAAAGGAGCUUGGGACAUUUUGAGUAGAGAAUUCAGAGGAGAUAAAAAGGUUAGAGCUAUAAAACUUCAAGCAGUGAGAGCUGACUUUGAAUACCUGAGAAUGGCAGAAAGUGAGAGCUUAGAUGGAUAUCUAGCUAAAUUCUUUGCAACUGUGAAUAACCUGAAAUCAUUAGGAGAAGAUGUAUCAGAAAAUAGAAUUGUGCAGAAAUUGCUAAUGAGUCUAAGCAGAAGGUAUAAGUCCAUUAUGUCAAUCAUUGAGGAGACACGAGAUCUUGAUGUUCUGAGAGCAAAAGAAGUCAUUGCUUUUGUGAAAGUUUAUGAUAAGAGGGAAGAUCUACAUGAUGAAAGGGAUAAGCUAACAGGAAUAGAGAAAGCCUUUAGCAGUUUAAAGAUUGAAAACAAUCAAGCCUACAGCUCACACAAGUGUUUCCAAGGCAGACAUCCUCAAAGAUGGCAAUCACAAGACAGGAGAGGACCAAAUCCAUUUCCAAACAGAAAUGGAACCAACUAUAAUAAUGCAAGCUAAAACAACACUGCUUGGGGAAGUAGUCAAGCGAGUGUAAAGCCACAAUGCCAAGUCUGCCAGAAGCAACAUUUUGGUUUAUGUAGACACAAAGGAAAACCAAGAUGUGGAAGAUGCAACCGGUUUGGCCAUAUUGCAAAAGAUUGCGAGAGUCGCAGUCACAAACAACUAGCAAAUUAUGCCAAAGAAGAGAGAGUUACCACAGGAACUGUCGCACGUGUGCGACGUUGCGGCGAUCACCCACCACCCCAUGUAUGAAGGUGUGGUAUGUAUCUAUCUAUUGUGAAAAAUAUGGUGAGACAAGGAAUUCUUUGUCUCUUAGCGGUGAAAAAUGGACCGGAAGUCGCCACCUAGUAUUCUAGUUGUUAGGAACCCUAACUGGUCUUUAGAGAUUAGGUACGGAGACUAGUUGCGUAAAGGGAAGGUGUUAACACCCCAACUACUCCCUACCUACGGUAGGUUGCAUUGUUUUGUCUAAUAAAAUCUAAGUCAUGUUGUGGUUUCUUAUUGUUCAGAAUAUGCAUUACGUGUAAUGUCAUACCCCAGGUUCUAUUGUCCGAAAAAAAGAAUUAAAUAUCCGGAAUACACAAUACGUGUAAUAUCAUGCCCCGGAUACUAAGAGAUAAACAAAAUAAAAUUUUUGUUUGUUUUUGAAAUUUUGGCCAAUGUUCUCUUGACUUUAAUAAACUGGUUAUUAAAGCCAAAAUACAUGCAAACAUUGAUUUUUGGUGUAUAUAAAAAACACAAUAUGAUUUUUUAGCUUGGAGACACUUGGCCGUAUGCACAAAAACAUUUUUUUUCUUUUUUUUAAUUUUUUUUUGUAUUUUUGGAAAUUUUGAUGAAAACCGGGUAUUUUAAUAUCGGAUUUUGUAUUUUUAGCAACAUAAAAACACUGCUUGAUGUUAAUCAAAAUGACAUAAAAAAUACACGGAAACUUGUAAAAUUACAAACAAAUAUUUUUUUGAAUUUUUUUUAACAAAAAAAAGGGGCCAAAUUUGGCCCAACCAUCCUGGGCUGGGCCUGACCCGGCCCAUAUAUUGUGGGCUGGACUCAACCUAGCCGUAUGGGCUGGGCUGAUGUUCCAGCCUGUAACCAAUGAAAGGGGUUGGUUACUGUACGCAGCACAGUAACCAGUAAAAAAUAUAAUUAGCUAGUUAUUGUGCUAAAUCUUCAUUUGCUGCAGAACGUAAACGUUUUGCAUGCAAAUGAAGCUGAAGCGAAAAACAGACAGGGGAGGGGAGAAAAUUACCUGGAGCGAUGGCGACGCUGGCGACGCUGGCGACAACGGAUGUGGCAGGGGUGGUGGUGUAGGCGGCGACUAUUCUCUUUCCUUGUCUCCUGUUUCCUCUGUUUCUCUUCUCAGCCACCCUCUCCUCUACCUUUUUUUCAUUGUCUGCUCUUCUUCUCCUCUUUCCCUUUGUGGCUGUCAGUGGCGGUUGGAGAUGGCAGUGUCAGCGGUGGUCAAGUGGUGUGCUAUGGCGGUGGAGAGGAAGCAUGAUGGCAGCUGCGGUUGUUCUUCUCCGGUAUAAAUAUAUUCUUGUCACUUCCCUUUCUCUUCUCUGCCUCCUUUGCCGGUUUCCCUUUCCCUCCUCUGCCUUCCCCAAAUAUUCCCCUCCCUUUUUCUGUAAUACUUCCCUCAGGUGGUUCCAGCUUUCCCUUCUCUCCCAGUCUUUCUCUUUUUCGGUCUCUUUAAUAAACUCUCAGUUCUUUCUCUUGGUUUCCCUUAAAAAUCAUUCCCAGCUUCCUCCCUUUUUCUCCUCUCUUUUCUCCCUUCUUUCGGCACUCCCUCCUCUGGUAUUUAUAGGCAGAGGAGGGGAGGGCCACCUUACCCUUGUCAUGGUGCAGGGUAAGGUGAGCCGGGGAGUUGUUCGCAGGGUAUGGUGCUUUUAGUGCGAGGGCUUGGUGGUGUUAGUGAAGGGACAAGUCGGGUCGUCGUUGGGUUUUCGGGUUUUGGGACAGAGAGAGAGGGGGGAAUAGAAAACAGGGGAAAAAUGCUUCUUCUUCCCUUGCUCUUUGCGUGUGCAGGGGAAGAAGAAAGCUUAUGGUGCCGUUCACAACGACACUGUUUGCCCUUUUUUUUUUUUGAAAAUGCAUGAAACGGCGCCGUUUUGACCAAAACGCGUUGUUUCAUUUAAAUGAAAACAGGCGCCAGAAUGCAUUCAAUUUCAGAUCAGCCCCUCAAUUUGCGCGCUUUUUCAUUGUAGUCCUUGGUUUUGGAUUUCUUCGAUUAAGUCCUUAAUUGGCCACCAGACUUCAAUAUGCAUGCAAUUAAGCCCCUGAUUUGACCCAAUCAACUCUAAAAAAUAUAAUUUGACGUCAGAACUUCAAUUUCUUCCAAUUAAAACCCCAAAUUGACUUUAAAAUCAAAUUUUCUUGCAAUCAAACCCUCCAAUAAUUCAAUUAAACUUUCAAUAAAAUUUAAUUGAGUCCAUAAACAUCUGAUUUUGUACUUUUCUUCCUCUAAUAAAAUUUCCUUAAUAAAAAAGGCUCUCACUGGUCAAUGAUAUACUGUCAAAUUUCAAUUCAUUGAUAUAUUUUUGAUAUAUUUUAUUAUUAUUAUUAUUAAUUAAUUUUUUUAAAAUAAUUUUUUUUCUUGUUUCUUAUACGGGGACCAAAAAAAGGGUUGCAACAGGAACCAUGUUCUAUGCUUGCCAUUCUACAAGUCUGCAAGACAAAAAGGUAUGGUUUGUGGAUAAUGCUUACAACAACCACAUGACCUCUCAAGAAUCCGAACUAAUCAACAUCGAUAGAAUAGUAACCUGCAAAGUAAAGAUGGGCUCAGGAGACCUUGUGCAAGCAACUGGCAAAGGCACAUUGGUUGUAGAAACUCAACAUGGGAAAAGAUACAUAAAAGAGGUACUACUUGUUCCUGGAUUGGAUGAAAACCUAUUGAGUGUAGGGCAUGUGAUGGAGCAUGGUUAUUACAUUCUGUUUGGAGAUAACAAAGCAGUAAUAUUUGAAGAUGAAAGCCUCAACAAUGUUAUAGCAAUAGUGAUCAUGAGAGGAAAUCGAUGCUUCCCACUUUCACUUGAAUCCAUCACACCUGCAGCAAGGAAAGCUUCAGUGACUGAGGAUUCCUGGAUAUGGCAUAGAAGACUGGGACACUUGAAUUUUGCCAGCAUGAAGAAGAUGCAGCAGAAGGAGAUGGUAUGCGGGCUUCCUGUUCUGACAGAAGUAGAAGAUGUUUGUGCAGGCUGUGCAUCAGGCAAACAUCACAGGGAGAAAUUCGACAAAGAGCAAGCGUGGAGAGCAAGUGAUCCACUGGAAUUAAUCCACACUAAUUUGUGUGGACCAAUGCAGAAUGAAUCCAUAGGAGGAAAUAGAUACUUUAUCACAUUCAUUGACGAUUACUCAAGAAUGUGUUGGGUAUAUUUCCUCAGAAACAAAUCUGAUGCACUCAAUGUGUUCAAGAAAUUUAAGGCAUUUAUUGAGUUGCAAAGUGGAUAUAAAUUAAAGAAGCUGAUAAGUGACAGAGGUAAUGAAUAUACUUCAAAAGAGUUUAAAGAAUUCUGUGUAAAACAAGGAACGGAGAGGCAACUGACAGUUUGAUACUCUCCUUAAUAGAAUGGAGUUGCAGAGAGGAGAAAUAGAACAAUUUGUGAAAUGGCAAGAUCCAUGCUAAUAGAGAAAGAAAUGUCAAUAAUCUUCUGGGCAGAAGCUGUGAAUACAACUGUGUAUAUUCAGAAAAGAUGUUACACAACAUCUGUUACUGAAAAGACUCCUUUUGAAGCCUUUACGGGAAGGAAGCCAGGAAUCAAGCAUCUAAAGGUGUUCGGUUGCUUGUGCUACACACAUAUCCCAUCAUCACUAAGGCAGAAAUGGGAUAGCAAAGCUGGAAAGAGAGUGUUUGUUGGGUAUGGUAGCUGUGAGAAAGGGUAUAGAAUAUAUGACCUGAAAACUGAGAAGAUUGUUCUUUCAAGAAGUGUGAUUUUCAGUGAAGAUAGAGCAUGGAAUUGGGAAAGAAAUUUGAUGAACCAAAGCCACUUGUCUUUCAAUCAUGAAGGGGGUGAAGUUGAAGGUGAAAAUUCUGAGGAACACUCUGCUGCAGUCCAACCCGAUAAUGUUGAACAUUGCAAUCAAAAUUCUACAGUUGGAGAGUUAGUUGAGAAGAUUGACAGUGAUAACAGUCAACAAUCUUCACCGAGCUCUACUCUAGUAAAAUUAAAAACCUUGGAAGACAUACAUGCAAGGUGUCACAUGUGCAUCAUAGAACCUGAGAACUAUCAAGAAGCUUUUGGAAAUAAAGCCUGGCAGAAAGCUAUGAAGGAAGAAUUGGAAGUGAUAGAGCAGAACAAUACUUGGGAAUUGGUGGAGAGACCAAGUGAUAAAACUGUGAUAGGAGUGAAAUGGGUGUACAAAACUAAGCUUCAUCUUGAUGGAACAGUUCAAAAACAUAAGGCUCGCCUUGUAGCAAAAGGAUAUGCACAAAAAUCCAGAAUUGACUAAAAUGAAACAUUUGCACCAGUAGCAAGGUUAGACAUAAUCCGGACUCUCAUUGCACUUACAACACAAAAGGGGUGGAAAUUGUUUCAAUUGGAUGUUAAAUCAGCAUUCCUAAAUGGUGUUCUUAAAGAAGAAGUAUAUGUUGAGCAGCCUGAAGGGUUUGAAGUAAAGAAUGCAAGACACAAAGUUUACAAACUAAAGAAGGCCUUGUAUGGAUUAAAGCAGGUACCGAGGGCCUCGUAUAGUGAAAUUGAUGCAUACCUCUCUAUGUGCAAAUUCAAAAGGAGCACAAGUGAAGCUACUUUGUAUACAAGAUCAGACAUGGAAGGUAAUUUGAUCAUUGUCUCAAUCUAUGUUGAUGACAUUGUGUACACUGGCAGCAAUGAGAGGAUGCUCAGUGAAUUUAAAAAGGAAAUGAUGCAAAGGUAUGAGAUGUCUGAUCUUGGAAUCCUUUAUCAUUUUAUUGGCAUGAGAAUACUACAAACCAAUCAAGGGGUGUUUAUUCAUCAAGGGAAAUAUGCCAAAUCCCUGCUUAGUAAGUUUGGACUUGAUGAUUGCAAACCAGUCUCCAUUCCCUUGGCCACUGGUGAGAAGCUGAAGAAGGUGGAUGGGAGUGAGUUGGCUGAUGAAGAACUUUAUAGAAAAAUAACAGGAAGUUUACUAUAUUUGACAGCUACAAGACCUGAUCUAAUGUAUGUUGCAAGUUUAUUAUCACGGUUCAUGGCUGGACUUACCAAGAUUCACAUGGGAGCUGCAAAAAGAGUUCUAAGAUAUGUGCAAGGAACUCUCAGCUAUGUGAUUGAAUAUGUAAGGGAUCAAUCAGCAACUCUCAUUGGAUUUUAUGAUGCAGAUUGGGCAAGAAGUAAAGAUGAUAGCAAGAGCACUUCGGGCUAUGCAUUUAGCUUUGGAAGUGGAGCAUUCUCCUGGUCUUAUAUGAAACAAAACACAAUAGCAUUAUCAACUUUAGAAGCUGAGUAUGUCUCAGCAUCUGAAGCAACUACUCAGGCCAUUUGGUUACGGUUUGUUCUUGAUGAUUUUGGUAAAAUGCAAGCUAAGGCAACACCCUUGUUCUGUGAUAAUAUGUCAACAAUUUCAAUGGCCAAAAAUCUAGUUUUUCAUCAAAGAACAAGACACAUAAACAUGAAGUAUCAUUUCAUAAGGGAGGCUUUGCAAGAAGGAGUAAUUAAUGUGAAGUUCUGCAGAAGUGAAGAACAACUUGCAGACAUCUUCACAAAAGCACUACCCAGAGACAGAUUCAAGAAACUAAGACUAAAUCUUGGAGUUAAAUCAGUAAACAGCUUAGGAGAUGUUGCUGAAAGCUAAGCUGAUUACUUGUGAUUGAAGUCUUAGAAGAAGACUACGUAGACUGAAGGAAGAAGGAUGAAGAAAUUGAAAAAAUUCUGUUAAAACAGUUAAAGAGUCAGUUAAAAUUGUUAUGACAGUUAUAUCAGUUUUUACUGUUACAAAAACUGUUACAAAUCAUUCUUACAUGUGUAAGAAUCGUGACCCUCCAUUAGUGGAUAGAUGAGAUGAUCUUGAUUCCUAAAAUACCGGAAUCAGUUACAUAUAAUAUAUAUAUAAAAGCAGAGUUUGCUGCAUUGAAAAAUAUAUAGAAAAUACACAAGAAUUUCUUCAUCUUCUCUGCACAUUUAAGCAUAUUCUUCUUCUCAAAACCUUUAAAAAAAUAAACAGGAACUGUGGUGCUGCUCAAGUCAUUGUCAAACAAGUGAGACAAGCAUUAAAGAACUCUAAAACGCGUGGGAAAAUCACUGUAGCAGCUGUGAUUUUUUUUUUUUUUUUUUAUAGAAGGUAGUUUUUUUUUUUUUACAUGUUUUUUUUUUUUUUUUUCCUGUAGCAGUUUUUUAACUAUAGCUUAUUAUUAUUUUUUUUUUUUUGCUUUUGUUUCUUCUUUUUUUUGUUACAUGUUUUUUUUUUUUUUACCUAAAAUUGACUUCUUUGUCUUUGUUUUUUUUCUUUUUUUUAAUUUUUUUUUCAAAAUUAUCUUUACUAAUUUUUUUAAAUAUUAAGCUGGUUAAAAAUUUAACUAUAUAGUUUUUUUCUUUAAAACAUUGUGGAUUGCUAUAAUAUUCUCAUACAUUGGUUUUUUUUCUUUUUAUGAUUUCUUUAGAAGAGCUCGAGACAUAUAUGAAAUAUCAACAUCUAAUCUCUGGUAUUGGAUAAAGCUUUCAGUAUGUGGAGAACAAUCAAACGAGAAUUGACAGGGAAUUGAGUGAUCAUGUUAAAGUUACGGAGCAUGCGAAGAAGAGGCCCACUGAGGCCAGAAAGCGCAGCUGGAGAUAAAAAUGGUCAGGAAAGUAAAGGAGGGAAGAAAAAGCUCUCUCUGGUUCUUCCUCGAACAGUAAGUAGUCUUCUUUUUUUUUUUUACCAAAAUUCCUCUCCUCUGGACUGAUCAUCCACCUCUCAUCGGUUCCAUGCUGUUUUUUUUUUUUUUUUUUUCAUAAUUAUAUGUCCACUGUACUAAAUCACCUCGUUUGAUCCCACAGCUUCACCCCUCGACUUGAUUUCGAAUAUGGUGAAGAUGAGUCAAGGGAUCCUCCUCUAGCAUUGGAUGCUUUGCGAUGUUGAUUUCGAUGGCUUACACAUGCUGUCUGCUCAUAAUUUCUUAUAUUCGUUUCAACAAUAAGAUUACGCCGAGUAAUCUCCAUCCCUCGAAAUCAUAGUAUUGCCCGAGUCAAAAAGCAUGAUUGAUUACCGAGCAAUACUAUCUCGACCACUGCAAAACACACUCUUGAAUUCCUGAAAAGCAGCAUGUCCUCGUGUAGGGCAUUACUACAUGCAUGAAAGUAUUAAGAAACCGGGAUCUUUGAGUAGAUCUUUCAAGUGGGAUAGGACCCACUUAAAAAAAUAGCAAGGCAAAAUUGAGGCCCAUGUGUAAGCAUACAAGGACAUCCAUUAAAGCCCAUGAGUAGAUCUUUCACUAAUUUUUAUUUAUCAAUUUUCCCAUAAAUUAUCUUGAUUUUCCAGUUCCCGUUAAAAUUAUUUAAUGAAAAACGUUAAGUACUUGUAAAAUGAUGCUAUUUUUUUAAUAGAAAAAAAGUGCAAUUUAGAAUAUAUUUUUUAAUAAAAACAUAAUUGAAAAGCCUUAAAGAUGAAUGCAAGUCGUUAACAAAACAAGUAGUUUUUAAAGUUUAAGAGUAAAAUCAGUAUGCAAAAUUAUGUAAUGACAAAAUUAAGACUAUUGAGAGUGUUUCUGAGACUUCGGCUUUUCUUCUUUGAAGCUUCGACGUAAGUGCUUUGGAGGGUGAGAGAAAUGGAGGAGAGAAGGGUUGACUAGCUGUAAACCAAUUAUUGACCCAGAGGGGUUCCUUUUGAGGUCACCAAAUUUCCACGAAAGAGAUGAAAUCACCUAUAAGCCCAAGCUCAAAGGUUACAGAAUGUAAAAAAAGGCAAGCUAAUCGUUGUUCUCUUAUUGAGCAAAAAGCAAAGCAAACAUGGGCAGGAGGACAGCUUCUUGCUCUCUGUUUCUGUUUUUCACUCUUUUCACAACCUUGCAGAGUCCAAUUCUGGCUGCAAAAAAGGCAAGCUAGCAUGCAUUAAUGUUGUCUGAUCGUUUAGUCUUUCAAGUUACAUUUGCAAUCUCUCUUAUGUUAUAAUUCUGCUACUGACAGUGAUACCCGUGUCUGUGUACGUGCAGUCUUAUGUGGUUUACCUUGGGAGACAUUCUUAUGCUUCUGAACCUUCCACCACUGACCUGGAUAGGGUAGCCGAUGCCCAUCAUGAACUUUUGGGUUCUUGUAUGAAGAGGUGGUGAUGCAGUCCUGAAUAUUUCUGCUGUGUGAUCAGUGCUGUAUUUGGUUGUUCUAAUACUGAUGAUUAAGUUUGAACUCGUUAUGACAGCAAGGAGAAGGCGAAACAAGCCAUCUUUUACUCCUACACUCGCUAUAUCAACGGUUUUGCAGCAGUACUUGAAGAUGAAGAAGCAGCUGAGAUUUCAAGUAUAUAUAAUACUAUUAAAAUUGUUCAGCUUGUAUAUCGUGCAAUCCUUGGUACUAUUACAAUUAUGGUCUUGUUAAUACGUUUUCAGAGCAUCCAGAAGUUGUAUCAGUUUCUCGAAACCACAUAAGUCAAUUACACACAACAAAUUCUUGGGGCUUUCUUGGACUGGAAAGAAAUGGAGAAAUUCCAGCUGAUUCUAUGUGGCUAAAGGCAAGAUUUGGCGAAGACGUAAUUAUCGGGACCCUUGAUACUGGUAAUUAUAAUUUUACAUGUCUGUGUACAUGCGUAGAACUGGUCAAGUCUCCUUCAUAUCAUUUCAUCUUCUUAAUUUAAAUGUUUCUUGCAUUCAAUUAUUUUGGACCAGGUACAGCUACAUUGCAUCUGAAAGAAAAAUCUCCAAUGAUGGUAAAUUUUUGAUCUAUUUUUCUUGACUGUGCAUGACGCUAGGUGUUUGGCCGGAAUCCGAAAGCUUCAAUGAUGAAGGGAUGGGGCCUGUUCCAUCUAAAUGGAAGGGAUACUGUGAUCCAAAUGAUGGGAUUAAAUGCAACAGGUACUUUAAUUUCUUUCUCAAGGCCAGAGCACUUUUCUUGACCCGAACUACUCAUUUUGCCUCUGAUAAUGAACCGCAGACAAAUUCUUCUGUUUCCUAUAGUAAGAUCAGUAACAUAAAAGAUAUGUUGUUAUUAGCAGGAAACUUAUAGGAGCAAGGUACUUUAGCAAAGGCUACGAAGCAGAAACACAUGAUUCUUCAAACCACACCGCGCGAGAUUAUGAUGGCCAUGGAACCCACACUCUAUCCACUGCUGGAGGUCGUUUUGUUUCGGGGGCAACCUUCCUUGGUUCAGCUUAUGGAACAGCUAAGGGAGGUUCGCCCAACUCGCGAGUCGCUUCAUACAAGGUCUGCUGGCACGGCUGUAGCGAUGCUGAUGUGUUGGCUGGCUAUGAAGCUGCUAUUCAUGAUGGGGUCGAUAUCCUCUCCGUGUCACUUGGAUCCGAUCCGAGAGAAUACUUUACUCAUGGGAAUGCAAUUGGAGCAUUUCUUGCAAUGGAGAACGGGAUUGUUGUAGUUGCCGCCGCUGGAAAUGAUGGACCUGACCCUGGAGUCGUUGGGAAUGUAGCUCCCUGGAUUCUUACAGUUGCUUGUAGCACUAUCAGUAGGGAGUUCACAUCUAAUGUCAUCCU
rnacentral:lncRNA from 1 species